UACGUAGGGUGCAAGCGUUGUCCGGAAUUAUUGGGCGUAAAGAGCUCGUAGGCGGUCUGUCGCGUCGGCUGUGAAAACUCGGGGCUCAACUCCGAGCUUGCAGUCGAUACGGGCAGGCUAGAGUUCGGCAGGGGAGACUGGAAUUCCUGGUGUAGCGGUGAAAUGCGUAGAUAUCCGCAGGAACAUCCGAGGCGAAAGCGGCUUGCUGGAUCGCAACUGACGCUGAGGGACGAAAGCUAGGGGAGCAAACAGG
rnacentral:rRNA from 1 species